rnacentral:rRNA from 1 species
UACGGAAGGCAGCAGUGGGGAAUAUUGCACAAUGGGCGCAAGCCUGAUGCAGCCAUGCCGCGUGUAUGAAAAAGGCCUUCGGGUUGUAAAGUACUUUCAGUCGUGAGGAAGGUGUUAAGGUUAAUAACCUUAGCAAUUGACGUUAGCGACAGAAGAAGCACCGGCUAACUCCGUGCCAGCAGCCGCGGUAAUACGGAGGGUGCGAGCGUUAAUCGGAAUUACUGGGCGUAAAGGGCACGCAGGCGGUUAAUUAAGUUGGAUGUGAAAUCCCCGGGCUUAACCUGGGAAUGGCAUUCAAGACUGGUUAGCUAGAGUCUUGUAGAGGGGGUAGAAUUCCAUGUGUAGCGGUGAAAUGCGUAGAGAUGUGGAGGAAUACCGGUGGCGAAGGCGGCCCCUGGACAAAGACUGACGCUCAUGUGCGAAAGCGUGGGGAGCAAACAGGGAUUUAGAUAGUC